rnacentral:rRNA from 1 species
UCUGAAUCUGCGUACGGCUCCGCAAACCAGUUGUAAACAAGGGCAAGCAUGCUUCAGGUGACCCGCGAGGGGAGGUUGGGGCGAUAUGGAUAACCCUGGUAAUUUUGAGGCUAAUACACGAACGUAACACCCGGUCGACCGGCAACGGGAGGUCGGUGAACGUGCGAAUUUUGGUGCAAGGCUUUGCUGGGAAUAGACGCACGUUAAGACCACCAUACCAAACAGUCGGUUCGGGGAUCCGUCCCUGGGCUGCCUGGGUGGCUCUUGCAUUGUGCUUCUGACCUAUCAACUAGAUGGCAGCGUAACGGACAUGCCAUGGUACAAC